UACAGGACACCAGGUAUGCACGGAGACUUCUUCUCCCGUCCCUUUCCUAGCAACAAGCUACCCGAGUCCUCUUCAGCUACAGAAGCCACAAGGAUGCCAAGGGGAUGUAGCUAAAGAACUGCCCAGCACUGAACAAAUGAUCGCGUGCAUCACGCUCACUACACCACCCUAAUUAUUUUCUUUUUUCGAACAUAUUAUCAUAAGAGAAAGUCAAGGAAGUUUUAAAUAUUUCUCUCCUCUAAAGAAAACCUGUUUUCCAUUAACUUGCUCACCAAAGAAGCCAAAGAAAUUACAGUUUGCAAUAAAACCAAAAACAGUUGGAGUGGUAUCACACCCUCCCUUCUCAGAGCUACACACAGCAUCAUGCCCAGCUUGGUUAGGAGCCAGCUCCAGCUCCCAAGCACACACCACCACCAAACCCCAGUGCUGGAGCUUUAUUCCAAACAGUGCUAAAGAGAGUGUUCACACACAGGGAGAAAGCUUAGCUCCCCAGGGACAUGGCACACCAACUGAAGCAAGUGGAGAAAAUAUGGCAGGAAAGAAAAAAAAAAAAAGUGAAAUUCAUAGAUGGGGGUUAAAGUAAACUUGAACUGGCAACACUCUUUCAAGAGUGAAACAUCACUUGCCCAUACAAGAGUACUGUGAGAUUUUGAAAACUAUUUUUAUUUCAAGCAUUCUAGAAGGCCAGGGUUCAGUAACAGAAAAUAGAGGCAUUCAGACUUCUCGCUCAAUAAAUAGAAGUAAGAAGACAGUAUCAAUCCUUGAGUGACAUUUUCCUGAAAUCAAACUAACUUGUCUGCUGCCACUAGUACAACACAGAAGUCUGAAGCUUGGUUAUGGGGGGUAUGAACUCCCUUCCUCCUCCCCUUUUGUAUAAUGUUCUGCUGGUAGGAGAGCAGGACAUUUCCAGCCAAGGAAGACACACACACAUCCACGUGUGUGUCUUCAAACAGUGCAGCCAGAAAAUUUUGCCAGUGGUACAACAUUAAUUUAGAAAUACAUACAUUGUUAACUGCUUCCAUGAAGAUGCAGCAUUUAAGUAGAAAGUGGAGACACAUCAGCAAAUUUGACCAUGGUGGAGCUUCAGCACGAGUUCAGUGAAGUCCUGGCUCUUCAGCUGAUGCAUAAACAAAUGCAGGGAAAGGUGAGGAAGAGGAGAUCAAAGAAUAAAUGGAGAAAUAUUCUGGAUCUGCAAGCUGCACAAGUGGGAAAUAUUAUUUCUGACAAGUAGACACAACCAAGUUUCUUGCUUCUCCUCAAUAUUUCUCACACUUUUAUUGUUAAAUGAGGUGACAGCUGUCACUCCCUCUCCCUGCAAGGAAGUGUCCAGCUUUAUGCAUGCCUCAUAAUUGAUAGAGGUUGCUCUUUAUAAUUAAUUAUGAUUGGUUUUUCUCUACAUACAUAAAUAUUUCCAACACCACUAACAGAAACAUCAAAUCAGUAGUUACCAGUGCUAGUCAUACAUCUUCUCAGUCUACCACAAACCAUACACACCCUUUCUUCAGCGUGUUUGAAUCAGUUCCAUAGUGAAAUGUUCUUGUUUCUGUAGUCCCAAAUUCCCAAAUGAGUUUAGCUGAGGGGAAGCCUAAAGCCUGGUUUCAGAAGAAAAGAAAGGAAGUUGUGCACCCCUGUUUGAGUGAAUAGGAAUGACAGAUGAAGAUGUUUACCAUAUGAAGUUAUAAAGGGACUGGGUGCAAUUAUGACUGAGGGUGAAGGCAGGAGGAGGCAGCUAUGACAUGUAACAAGCACCAUUCCCUACAGGUGAGCAUCACUGCCUGUUCCUGUGGCAAUAUCCAGAUCCUGAUACAAGUGAAUGAAAUACCACAACCUGAAGCUCACAUCCCAUAGAGACAGAUGCCUCUGGUCUCCACUCUGAAUCUCUUCAGCACACUUGAGGAUGUACUGACAAAGUGUAAAUCCCAAAUGGCUUCAGAAAAUGAUCUUUUGUCAUACACAAAGUUAUCUCAAUUUUGAUGAUUAUUACGCGCUUAUCCCUCACAUUUAAAAUCCUUGGUGGCCAACUGAAGUCCUUCCAUGGUGGAAUUAAAGCGAGAAGUUUCUGAAAUAAAAAAAAAGAAGAGGGUCUGCUGAAGUUCCACAACAGCACAGGCAGCAAAAAGAUUUAACAGAUAAUCUAGCCCUCAGACUGAGAAGAAUCUGUCCAAUGUUUUUUAAAGUUUCUAAUACUCAGCUGUUAGUUAUUUCUUUAUGAAGUUAAAAAGAAUGGAGAGGAAGUAGACAAUGGAAAGCAAAGGAAAAAUACAAGAAUGCAAGAAGAGUGAAAAACGAAGAUAACUUGGAUGUCAAAACUAGAGGCAGCAAGGACUUUACCACCUCAAAGCUGAAAAAUAAAGAGACGAGUAACA